GACGAACGCUGGCGGCGUGCCUAAUACAUGCAAGUAGAACGCACAGUUUAUACCGUAGCUUGCUACACCAUAGACUGUGAGUUGCGAACGGGUGAGUAACGCGUAGGUAACCUGCCUGGUAGCGGGGGAUAACUAUUGAAAACGAUAGCUAAUACCGCAUAAUAUUAAUUAUUGCAUGAUAAUUAAUUGAAAGGUGCAAUUGCACCACUACCAGAUGGACCUGCGUUGUAUUAGCUAGUAGGUGAGGUAACGGCUCACCUAGGCGACGAUACAUAGCCGACCUGAGAGGGUGAUCGGCCACACUGGGACUGAGACACGGCCCAGACUCCUACGGGAGGCAGCAGUAGGGAAUCUUCGGCGAUGGACGAAAGUCUGACCGAGCAACGCCGCGUGAGUGAAGAAGGUUUUCGGAUCGUAAAGCUCUGUUGUAAGAGAAGAACGGGUGUGAGAGUGGAAAGUUCACACUGUGACGGUAUCUUACCAGAAAGGGACGGCUAACUACGUG
rnacentral:rRNA from 1 species